GACGAACCGUGCGAACGUUAUUCGGAAUCAUUGGGCUUAAAGGGCGCGUAGGCGGCGGUGUAAGUUGGAAGUGAAAUCCCAUCGGCUCAACCGUGGAAUUGCUCCCAGUACUGCAUCGCUCGAGGGGGAUAGGGGUUUGCGGAACUACCGGUGGAGCGGUGAAAUGUGUUGAUAUCGGUGGGAACGCCAGUGGCGAAAGCGGCAAACUUGACCCUUCCUGACGCAUGAUGCGCGAAAGCUAGGGGAGCAAACGGG
rnacentral:rRNA from 1 species